UGCAUGGCUGUCGUCAGCUCGUGUCGUGAGAUGUUGGGUUAAGUCCCGCAACGAGCACAACCCUUGCCUUUAGUUGCCAGCAGUUCGGCUGGGCACUCUAAAGGGACUGCCGGUGUUAAACCGGAGGAAGGUGGGGAUGACGUCAAGUCCUCAUGGCCUUUAUGACCAGGGCUACACACGUACUACAAUGGCCGAUACAAAGGGCAGCGACACUGCGAGGUGAAGCCAAUCCCGUAAAAUCGGUCUCAGUCCGGAUUGGAGUCUGCAACUCGACUCCAUGAAGUUGGAAUCGCUAGUAAUCGUGGAUCAGCAUGCCACGGUGAAUACGUUCCCGGGCCUU
rnacentral:rRNA from 1 species